UGGCGGGGCUGGGAGGUUCCCCCUUUUUGGUUCUAUCAAGAAGCAGUGGCAGAAAUCAAAAGCAGACACUUUCUUGGGCAGGGUCAAAGGGGCAGGAAAACCUCCCCAGUCUCUGCCUGCAAACUACGGAGAAACAGAACUUGCUGAGGGAAGGGAGUCAGCUGAAGACCUCUCCGUCCCCAUCCUCAAAGCUGAUUUUUUUUCACUGUGGUUUGCAUAGGAGUUUUUAUGGAGGGUUUGUAUGCAUGCUUGUGCCAUCUGUAUGUGUGAAUAUAAUGGACAAACACGAGCAACUUUAUAGAGAGAGACGCAUGGAGUCACUUGCGUUGCUUCGUACUGCUCUUACUUAGUCCAGAUAUUUAAGGGAUUCCUGAUUUCCUUCCAAUAUUGCACCUGUCACAGUAGGAGGAACCCAGGGUGGGGUGGGGGUGACAUCCAUGACUGCAGGGCACUAGUGGGCACAUGCCCCCACCUUGCCGGGGGGGGGGUGUUCAGCCGGUUCUUCCUCCACACUUGUCUUGAGCCAGGAUCGGGUGACCUUUCCUCACUUCCUCCCAUCCUGCUUCAACAGUCCAGUGCCUCCUCCUGAAUUUUUUUUCUAUCUCCCACCCUUUCCUUUCCAUUGUUCUCUCACCCCCUACUUGCCCAUCAGGUUUAUAAACACAGGCGUGGCCUCAGGGCUGCAAAGUUGAAUGCUUCAAAUCGUUCUAGAAAACCUAUGGCUUUUCCAUACCCUAAAACCUCUAGCAAUCUAUUUUUGGCAGUUUUUCCCUCUCUCCCCCUGCUUUCCUCUGUCAGAGUCCCCAAAAUUUUCACCACCAUUUCAGUGGGCAUGGCUAGUGGGGGUGUCAUGUGACUGAGUGGGCGUGAGUGAUGUCAAAUUGUCCACACCCACCUCAGUCACAUGUCCCCAACACAAUCUAACCACGACCACAAAACUGGUAGUAGAAACUUUUGAAACCCACCCAACUCUGUUGAGAUUAAUGUCAGGCACAGGCAACCAGAAAGGCUCUGGAAAUUAGAUAAAAAGGUUUCUUUAUGGUUGAUUCAACAGUUCACAAGAAUAUCACCAAAUUGAUAAGCUUCCCUUGGGAGUGCCUGAUACAGCCUAAGAAGUGUUUGAUCUCUCUCUCCCUCACUCCCCAUUGAAUCCAAAGCAAGAAUAUUUCAUAACUCCCCCUUUAAAGGCUUUCUUCCAUUCAGCUGCAGAAUAUAUCACAGUUGUAGUUGUUAACCAAAAAUCAUGGGUCACAGAGUACCCACCCGGUCCAAGCCAUGCUGGGAUCGUCUUUGGUAAAAAAAAAGGGACUAUCUCCAAUCCAUAAAUAUUUUUCAAGAACUAAUUGUGAUUAUUUUGGACUGCAGACUUUCUGGAGAGAUCCAGACUCAAUCUUUCAGCAGGCAUGUUGCAGAAGUACUCAGGACAAACCAGAGAUUGAGAACGUUAUACUUGGGCAUCCACUCCCCAGAAGACAAAGAAAUGGAACUAUUGUGCGAUGGGCUCAAACAUCCACAAUGCACAAUAGAGACAUUAGGACUUCGUGUAGACUUCUGGACUGAAUCUUGCAGCAGGCACAUUACAGAAGUAUUCAGGACAAACCAGAGAUUGAGGGAGUUGAAAAUCUACAUAGAUGACAUAGAUGACAAACAAAUGAAAGUAUUGUGCGAUGGGCUCAAACAUCCACAAUGCACAAUAGAGACCUUAACAUUUUCUGGACUGACCGGGAUUGAAUCCUGGACCAGGCAUCUUGCAGAAGUACUCAAGACAAACCAGAGAUUGAGAGAGUUAUGCUUGGACAUCAUCUGCCUACAUGAUAAAACAAUGAAACUAUUGUGCGAUGGGCUCAAACAUCCACAAUGCACAAUAGAGGCA